UCUCGCGGGGAAUACGUUUCGUCAUACCAAGUCCGCAUAUAGGCCUGCACACGCAGCGCGCGGAGUCUGUUUCAUCACGACCACCAGCAAGUGCGUUUGCGUGUUAAAAUGCUGUUCAAGUGUACUGCCGCGGGGAUCCUUGGCGCUCUGGUAGUUUUGUCUUUUGCGGUGGAUAUUGGACAAAGUUUUAAUCUCAAACGAGCGUUCAGAUGGAAAGACAACGACAAAAGAACUUUACCGUAUACAGUACUUGCAGCGGCCCAAAUUGAGCGCAUGAAACAAAAUAACAGACAGCAAAAUUCCCCAAGGGUUACUUAUCUAGCCGAUCAGAAACGGGCAGAAAACUCCCAAAAAACGAGUCCAGAUGUCUUCGAGGAGUUACGAAUAGACAGAAAAUGGCACUAACGCGAUGCCGAUGGUGAUGUUUCUCAAGACAAAGAUAUCGACAAUCGAUUUGUAAGAGAGGGUUUACUUGUACAGUGGUGUAGUGAACUUCAAUACUUUAUCCGCAAGGAAGACGGCAACACUUAAACGUGGCUCUUGAAGCACUUUUUGCGUGGGAGGCCGAGAACCUGGCCAUCUGCAUCCUUUGUAUCCAACGAGUACUUUAACCACUCGAGUUUCCUGUAUAAUAAAUGUAUUGUCACUGCAGAUACGUGUCGCCAAAUGGAAUGUAACUGGUCGGUUUAUAUUACCAUAUACAGCUUUGAAACAAGGCUGAGGCUUUACACUUAUAUUUGAAGGGAGGCGCUGCUUUCAUUUUCACAGAGAGCUUGAGAACAGAAACUGGUGGCUUGAACAUUAAGUGUUGACAUGUUGGUCUUUGGAUGCAAUAUGUUGUCACGUGUAGAGGACAUUUGGCGUGCCGCAAUACUCCAAGAGCUCCUUCGUGUUAUUGGAUUACCUUAUGGGAGACUUGCUUCGUGUCAUGCAUUGAUUAGAUACUCAUCGAGACGUACUUAUUGCAUUUGAACGAUGUGUUGUCAAAAACAUGAAAACAAUUAAGGUCUUCUUAAGAUGAUUGUCGUGUUUACUGUAUCCCUGUCAAAUCGUGAAUCUGUUCUCUUUUAAAAUGUCCACUUUCCUGAGCACGUACAUGUGAUU